UACGUAGGGUGCGAGCGUUGUCCGGAAUUAUUGGGCGUAAAGAGCUCGUAGGCGGUCUGUCGCGUCUGCUGUGAAAUCCCGAGGCUCAACCUCGGGCUUGCAGUGGGUACGGGCAGGCUAGAGUGCGGUAGGGGAGAAUGGAACUCCUGGUGUAGCGGUGGAAUGCGCAGAUAUCAGGAGGAACACCGGUGGCGAAGGCGGGUCUCUGGGCAGUAACUGACGCUGAGGAGCGAAAGCGUGGGGAGCGAACAGG
rnacentral:rRNA from 1 species